rnacentral:sRNA from 1 species
AACGAGAAGGAGCUGCAGGCGCUGUCCCGGCAGCCGGCCGAGAUGGCGGCCGAGCUGGGCAUGAGGGGCCCCAAGAAGGGCAGCGGUGAGCGGGACCCGGGAGACCGAGACAGUGCCAGGGGCGGGAGGCCGGGGCCGGGGUCUGGGCGGGGGUGCCGGAGGCCGGAGUCCGGGUCGGGGCGCCGGGGACGGGAGGCCGGGGUCCGGGCGGGGGCUGCCUGCGCCCCUGAGUGCGCGCUGUGCCCGCAGUGCUGAAGCGGCGGCUGGUGAAGCUGGUGGUGAAUUUCCUCUUCUACUUUCGGACAGACGAGGCCGAGCCCGUCGGAGCCCUGCUGCUGGAGCGCUGCAGAGUCAUCCGGGAAGAGCCCGGCACCUUCUCCAUCAGCUUCAUUGAGGACCCUGAGAGGAAGUAUCACUUUGAGUGCAGCAGCGAGGAGCAGUGUCAGGAGUGGAUGGAGGCUCUGCGUCGGGCCAGCUACGAGUUCAUGCGGAGAAGCCUCAUCUUCUAUAGGAAUGAAAUCCGGAAGGUGACGGGCAAGGUGUGUGCAGGGCUGCAGAGGGCCGGGGUGGGGCUGCAGGUGGCCGGGGUGGGGC